AAUGUAGUCUUGGGGUGGCUGGAUAGACUUCCCAAAGAAGGUGAUGCCGAAGCUGAGGUCGGAAAUUACGAAGAUCAGCUAUGGCGUCUCAGGGUCUUGACCACCUCAAGCCAGGAAGGCCUGAGGAGAGAAGACACAUAGUCAUGCUGACUAAACCAGAUCACCUAGAAUUACCAAAUGGAAAGAUUGUGCCUGCAGCCUGGCCUGUUGCCCACAGCGGUCUACCUGCCACACUGGGAAAGAUCGAGCAGAGACAGAGAAGAAAAGGAGGCUCCAUUUUUCAGGCUGCUCUCCCGCAGGCUCAUGUUUUGUGUUCAUGCCAGGCAGAGAACACAAAAUGUUCCAAUAAAUAAGUAUCAAAGGUUAGUGGUGAAAAUGAAGGAGGAGGAGGCAUUGCGUGAAAAACUAAACAUGCAAAAUAUUACACACAAAGAGAACCAAAAUGCAGGUUCACUGGAAAUGAUAGACAAUAUGUUAAAACAAGAGGAGAGAAGAGAGCUGAAAUAAUCAAAUGGAAACACACAAUUUAGGGCUAAGAUCUUGUUGUGUUCAGCCACAAAUGAUGGCCAGCAGUGAGGAAUCUGUGUGUUCUCCACACUCUUCGCUCCUGGGAAGUCAACUCACAUGGACCAUGAUAUCAAUAUCUGCUCCUUCCCCUAAUAUCUGUUUGACCUUGGGUCAGUUACUUAAACUUCCUAAGCCUUAGUUUCUUUGUCUGGAAAAUAGGGAUAGUUAUACCUACCACACAACCACUUUGUAAUGAAUAUGUUGGAAAUUAUAUGCAAAUUGGCUUCCGUUGGUGUUUGGAACAUAGUAGGUUUUUAACUGGAAUAUAAUAGCUACCAUUAUCAGUAUCAUCAUAUUAAUUUAUAUUUCCAUCUUCAGCCCUUAACCCAGGAUCUUCAGUAAAUGUUGAAUUCUCAAAUUUGUUAAAUUCACUUGUCUAUACUAAUAUUUUACUCUAGGUUUCUUAGAAUAUUCUAGAUAAUAUUAUUAUGUAGAAUAUGUUAUGUAAGCUUCAUCUUAUCUGUAAAUAUAGUUUUACUUUUUCCUUUCUAAUUUUUAUGUCGAUUACUUCUUUUUCUUGGCUUAUUGAAUUGGCUAGGAUUCCCGUACAGUGUUGAAUACGUGCAGCAAGACUGCACAUCUUGCCUUGUUCCUGGUCCCACAGAGAGAAUAUCCAGUACUUCACAAUAAGUAUGUGUUAAUUGUAGAUUUUAUUAGAUUGAGGAAGUUCCCUUUCCUUUCAAGUCAGUCUUUUUAUUUUAAACAUGUAUUGAAGUUUUGUCAAAUGUCUUCAUCUAUUGGAAUAAUUAUACAUAUCUCUUUUUUAUUCUGUUAAUAUUACAUUUCAAUCUUCUGUCUACCUAAAAUCCCUAGAAUAAUCUCCAUUUGGCUAUGAUGUGUUGUGCUUUUAUAUAUUACUGAAUUCUAUAUGCCAAUAUUAUUAAAAUUUUCUGUCUUUAUGAGAAA
rnacentral:lncRNA from 1 species